CCACCUCCCGUCCAAAAAAAACCACCCCACCCCACCCGCUGCCCCGAUCCCCACCUUGACCUCCCUCGAUCCCCUCCCCCGAGCGCCGCCACCCUCGCUGGAUCUCGCCGCCCUGCGCGCCUCCUCCCGCUGGCCGACCUACCCAAGGCGCCCCCCCCCCCCCCCCCCCAACCUACUAGCGCGGGGUCGCUGGGCGCCGCCCACACCACCGGGAACCUGCUACCGCACUUCCGCCAUGGUCGCACGCUCCUCCGCGGCCCAAUCGUCGCCGCCGCCGGGGAUCCUCGAGCACCAUCAUCCUGGCACGCAGUCCAUGGACGCCUCCCCACGCAGUCCCUUUCUUGCUGCCGACGCGAAUCCUGUCAAUCCCUUCCUCUUCUCCUUCUCUUCCUCAAGUGAUCUUUGCUGGAUCCUGCCGCCGUCAACACCAGGCAUCCGAACCCCGGCCCUGCACUCCAUCGCCGCGCCCUGUCUUCUUCUCGCUGCGGCUGCUCCACAUCGCGUCCGCCCGCCGUCGCGAUGCCCCAACUCGUCUGCUUUCCCUAACCCCUGUUGGUUGACCUUCUCGCAAAGGCCACCUCGACCUUCUCGAGGAAGGUUACUUACGAGGAUCCGGCUCGCAAGGUGCACACCAUCUCAUCCUAGCUGCUGCUGUGUGAAGAUCCACCGGCCCGAAGACGCAAGAGCAAGAACAGAGGUAGAUACAGAUUAUGAGUAGAACAUGGACUGCUCGCACGCGCCGCCAUGGAAUGCUCCGCUGCCAUCCCUACUGACUGAACUCAUCUUAAGAGUUUUGUUCACAGAGAUAACGGACUGACCUAUCUGCCCAGCAAAAUGCUGCACUUUUGGUGCAAAACCGUCAAAGAUGAACUCAACAAUCUCCGAGGCGACGGCACAACCAGAAAGUACGAGGAGUGGGACCGUGUGUACCGCUAUAACUACAACAACGACCUCGGUGAGCCGGACAAGGGCUAUCCGCGCCCAGUUCUCGGCGGCACCCAAGAACUCCCCUAUCCCCGUCGUUGCAGAACUAGCCGACCCCCAACAAAAACAGGUGAGUCCAGUGCAGUGUAUAUGUUUGUUCUUUUUCACAUGUUGACAACCAUGUCACCUUGCAAUUGGACACAUAUCGGGGAUUUGAUCUUUUUGCCAGACCCUAGAUCGAAGAGGAGAAUUCCUCACUACAAGAUACAGGAGGCCCUCGACAUCACUGUCCCGCGUGAUGGUAUUUAUGCAUCUUCCUAGUUGCUAAGGCAAUGCUGGAUUUAAUCAUCCUAGGAGAGAAGAAGCAAAAAGACAAUCAAAGUGUGAGAGAGAACACGUACAAUGAUGAGAGGACAAAAAAUGUGUGGUGGUGAAUAGCUCCACCGCAUUGCCAUUUGGCCCCAUUUUGCCCAUUUAGCCAGUGUCCCCUUCAAAGUGUUCAUCUUUAAAGAUAAUGGAACCAAUUUCUUUAGUAUGUACUUACAAUUGCAACUCUGUGCGUCUGUGUAAUGUUUGUAAACUUGUAAAGAAAAUGGAAGUUCAAGGCGAAACCAGCAAGUCCAUGGAACAAAAAUCCAAACUUUUGAAA